rnacentral:lncRNA from 1 species
AAAUGUAUAGGAACGAACCGCUUGAGUCAAGAACUUUUUAUCUACAGCGCAGGUUUAUUUCCCCUUAUUGGGUUACGCAGAACAGAGUGUGCGACCCAUCCUUUUAGGAAUUUAUGAAACUCAUUUCGUACCCCUAGGGGAAAGGCUCGGCCCAGCCUUGAGUGGUUUUUAAGUGGUGUAUUGCCUGGUCUUGAAGAAGGCUACGACUAUUAUGAUCGAACGAUAGAACUUCUUCACAAAGUAUGCGAAGGAGUUGGUCCUCCUAUUUUCUACGGUCAUCUUUGGGAAUGCCUUGCCUCAAACGAAGCCAUCCGAUUGGCUGCCAUAACUUUUAUUUUAGGGA